ACCAAAUCAGUCACAACCUAGACAAGCACUGUAAGCAUUUAAUCUCAAAGCCAUUAUCUCUUAUUAUGUUGCUUCUGAUAUUCAUCAUGUUUCCUCUUUUAAAAGAGAAUGCUGCUGCAGAUUUAAUAACAUCAUUGUUCACAGAGAAACAUGUUUUAGCAGGAGAUGAUGUGACUUUAUCCUGCGACUACAGUGGUAUUGUUUACAGUUUACAGUGGUACCGUCAAUAUCCCGGAUCCAAACCUGAGAAUCUCAUUUUUCACACUGAGACCAAUAAUGGGUCAGAGCCAAAGCUUCGUCUGUAUGCCGUUGCUGAUAAAGCUAUCAAACGUAUGAAUCUGAGUGUCUCUAAAACACAAACAGAGGAUUCAGCUGUGUAUUACUGUGCCCUGCAGCCCACAGUGACAUAAAACACAACAACACUGUACAAAAACCUGACAAUCGCAAUCAUUACAUUUUGCACCUAAUAAAGCAUCCCUUACUAUCAGUCAAACAACAUUAUCAUUUAGUUAACACUAUAAUUUAUUAACAUUUAUUAUUUCAAAAAUGAAAGAUGUUUUAAAAAAUUAAGGUUAUUUAGUACAGCACAUCU